CCUACACUGUUAAAUGUUUCCGUUAAUUUACACCCAAAUUUCAACAUGAUUUACCUGUUAUUUGUAAUAACUGCAGCUUACUGUAAAUUUUUAGGGAAUACAUGUUAAAUAACGCCUCAUGUAUGUUAUUUAACACCUCAUUGCUAAAUAACAUUCAUUUUUGUUAUUUAACAGCACAACCGAACAUUCAAAGAUGGCGGCCAGAGUUAGAUGGUCUGGUAUGGUUAUGUUUUGGGGAUAAGUGCCGAUAAACGCAAUUUUAUGCUUAGAUUAUAAAAAAUAUAUUAUUUAUCAUUGGAGAAGUUAGCAAUUUUUCGUUUUUGUAAGUUGCAAAACAAUGACUAAUUCAUUAUUGUCGAUGUUGCAUACUAAGAAAUUAAAUAUUGUAUGCAUUCACUGAAUGAAGGUUAGACAGAACACCACGUGAUUUCUGUACUGCAAAUGUUAUAAAGAAUCAUCUUGCUUUUAUUACCAUAAUCAUACCUCCCGAUUUUAAACGAGACACCUAACAUUUAAUUGACUAACUGCGCUCCAAAUCUGUGUGUGUAGAUGUGUGUGUGCGUGUGUGUGUGUGUGUCUUUCUGAUCACGUUCGCGCCACUUUCUGAAAUAACAGGUUCAUACAGUAUUUUUUGCAUUCUGGCAAAGAGCGAGUAAGAAGGCAUUUGAACCUGCAACGCAACGGACACACGGCCAUUCCAUGUCGGAGGAUCGCUCUGGUUACAUCGAGGAAAACCACAACAAUCCGAUGCAGAUGCAGGGCACUAUCCCUGAUCACACUGCUGAUCAAGAAGAUCUCACUGCAUGUAUCCCUCAGAACCAGGUGGAAAUUUGAAUGGUGUCUUAUAAUCUAUCAAUAAGUCUUGUGUUGUUCAAGACUAAACCGACAAAUGAAAGGAUGAAGGAAGUUCUUCGUCAGCUUGAUGAUGAUGUCGAGCUGUCCUAUCAAGUCAUCCAUCUUCUUCUGUCUCACUUUUCCGAAGAUGUCUCAGGACUUGAUAUGCCAGUGCAGCUGACCUUGAGAGUUCACUAGCUUUACCUGCAACGCCUCGUCUGAUACUUCUUGGAGAAACAGGAAACCACUUCCAACGCUGGAUGCUGAGCAUUGAGGGCCAGAUUGUGGGCGAAGGGAUCCAGUCCACCUUUGUGACAGGGCUGGCGUCUUUUUUCUCCGGUUUUUAUAUCUUCAACCUACAGUACCAAGAGGAGGCAGCGUGCACACUUGAAUUCAUCCAGAGGUAAGACAUUGUCUGUUAACACCUGCAUUUGUUCUGGCCUAGCUGUGGCUCAAGCAUGGUUUCAGCAGGUCUGGUGAUGGGAUUUAGCAAUUAACUUUGCUUUAGAAAGUUUUAGUGCAACUUACAAUAUUCAUAGAUGCAUAGGAUAGUAUGUUGAGGAUAGUUCAUGGACAUUUGUUGUCUUGUUGUAGUGUUAGUCUGUGUGAAUUACUAGAUUUCCAACCCGUGUAUAAUUUUUCAGACGCUUUGUGGGUAUAAACCCAGAAAAGGGGACAAAGGCUGCAAAGGGGAAAAAAAGAACGGUAAAUUCACACAUCGCCAGCCUCUUGCGCAGACUGAUGGACUUCCAGUGGGAUUUCAUUUAAAAAAGGUGAGAUAGAUACAUACAUUCAUGCUCUUUGCCAUUGUUUCAAUAAAUUUUACUUUUCAGACUUUCUAUUAUUUAUGUCUCUCUCUCUCUCUCUCUCUUUCAGUGGAGGUGUGUUCAGGUGCGUUCUGGGCAAUGUAGUGUAUUUUUCUGUGAUUGAUCCGAUCUAUAUGUGCCUACAUUUGUAAGUAUUUAACUUUCAGUGUUACUAUUACAAUAAAAAAGUUAAUUUGAACAUGGAACUAUUCGUUUUCUUUCACUUAAGUGUUAUGUGAUGUAUUAUGCCUAUUCUUAUAAUAACUCAAGCUAGAAAUAUGUAUAUUACAAUCAAUGGUACACAUUACUAUGCUAAAAUAAUAAUCAAUACAUUUUAAAAGCAAUAUUUAAAGGAAACUAAAUAAAUGGUGAUUUAACAUGAAAAUAAUGGUAACCCUGCUGCCAGUAAAGUCCUGUUAAAAAACAUUACGGGUGUGCACUGUAAAAAAACAUUAACAGGAAUAAACCGUUAAAAUAACAU